rnacentral:SRP_RNA from 1 species
GCCAGGCGCGGUGGUGCGUGCCUGUAAUCCCAACUACCUGGGAGGCUGAGGCAGGAGAAUUGCUUGAGCCCAGGAGGUUGAGGCUGCAGGGAGCCAUGUUUGCACCACUGCACUCCAACCUGGGUGACAGAGCAAAACCCUGUCUCUA